UCAUUUUAAAAAGACAAUUCGCCAACCAACUCUCUUGGUUAACAGUCACUUACAAUUAUUCCGAAAAGUGUAUAGAAACUCAAUAUAGUCCUCGCGAGUGAUUUAUACUACUCAGCAAUAGCAGUACGAAAAAUAGCAGGCCUGCUCCAGCUUGUGCAACGAGAAAUGACAAGGUAGGAAAUAUUUUUAUUACAAUUUACUUUAAGGUCUGGUUUUUUUACUGUUAUUUUUUUUAUUCUAUUUUAAAUUCACCCUAUGCUAAACAGUCCACUAAUAAAGCUCUCACUGAGUUAGUAGUCUCCUCCAAGAUGAGUUAAUACGUUUUUUGAGAUGUCGCCAUGCACCUGAAGUGAAGAUUUCUUCUAUAUCACUGAGUCUGAGUGUCAUUAUAUUAUAAUUUGUCAAUUGUCAUCAUUGUCAGUAUGCCUUUAUCUUUAUUUCAGUAAAUGUUUAUCUGAUUGUUAGCAAUAAUAAAAAUCCUGAUUUAGAUAAAAUGGAUUCAAAUACAGUUUUUGAAACAAAACGAAUGUGAUUUGAAGAUCCCUAGGAAGAUCAAAUUCCUAGCUUACAUUUGCAUGGUGAGUUCAACAAGUAUUUGUUAUUAGAGAACAAGUAACACAGUUAGUGGUGUAGGGAAGCAAACGAAUGUAACACCAAUUGAAAGUCCUUCAACAAGUAGAGAUGCACACAUGUUUCAAUCAUUUGAGAUACCCUUUUGUAGAAGUAUUUGGAAGAUAACUAUUAAUAAUUUCAUUUGUAAAGAUACGAUUUGUAAAAAAGUAUAUACAAAGUGGUUUUGCUGGUAUUAAAUAAAUAAAUAAAAAUAC